CAUUAGGAAGACAUCCCUCCCAAAAUAACUCGGCCCUCCCCCAAAGCACAGAGUUGAGCAGCCUACCUUUGUUCUGGAGUUGCAGAUAAUAACAGGCAAGCCUCAAGACCAUGAGGAUUUGGAAAAGAUCAGGAGAGUUGAAGAAAAAGAAGAAGGAAAAGAAAUACUCCAAGUAGAGAAGAAUUGGAAGAAACAACAGGAAAACCCUUCUAAUGAACUGUAGUGGCUGCCACAGGAUCGGGGGUGUCUUCACCAGUGUUUACACCAGCCAUGCUGCCAGUAAACUGGGUCUUCGGGGACAUCAGCUAUCCUGGAGAAAGAGCUCUGCUCUACCAACUCUAAUCACCCAAGCCAUCUGGAAAAAGAGUGACAUUAUGGAAGAUUUCUUACACAGUGAACACACGCUAAUUGACAUAUCUUAAGUCCUGGAGAAAAAUCACUUCCUUAAGGGAACUUGAGUAAUCAACGUGUAAUUAGCCAAUCCUCCUGGCAUGGAAGAUGGCUCCCUUGUCACUUGAGAACUUAUCACUAAAGAAAAUUAUUCUUAGUCUUUAGAGGCUCCCUGAAGAAAAACACCACCCCUUCACACCUACUGUGUGUGAAUUCUGUGCAAGGCUUUUACUCAAGUGAUUUGCUUAUACAACCUCAUCUAGUCUUCCAACAACUCUGUGGAGGAGGUACUAUAAUUUAUCCAAAUUUCUGAGGAGAAGAAACAGAAGCAAAGAGAGGUAAAACAGAAUGUCCCAGGCCAAGAGCUGUUAAUGGAAAACCUGGUCGCACAGUGGGUCAAUGGUUAUAUGCAUAGCCCCGGCUAUAAAACGUGGAUAACUGCAACCAAGUGAUAAACAUUUCAUGUUCUAAGACAUAAUGGAAGAAGCCUGGGCUCAGAGCACAGGACACCCAGUCACAUGAGCUGUGCCUGGUAACCGAAGACAGGAUUCUGUGUCUCAUUCUCAAGAGCUAUGGAUGCUCACAUUCAGGUGACAGUCACCAUCACAAGUAGGCACAGAUGUCGCUUUAGCGUUGCCUGUCUCCGCACCCUGGAGGAUGGAAUGGGGGCAAUGCCUGUAGCACCUCGUGCUUGCUGGGUUCCCCCGUGUUUCAACACUAAAGGAACCAAAGAGGUAAAUACACUUCCAGGGAAGUUGUAAAAAAAAAAAAGAAAAAAGAAAGGAAGCACGGGUCAGAAAAAAAAAUAGCUUCGAAAUACUGGAAGGCAAACUGGCGAAAUGGAUAGGUGCAGCACACCUACGUGCGUGGGGGAGAGGGGAAGCAAGGCGGCAUGCAGCUUAGGGUAGUGAAGAACCAUCAGCCAGCCUGGCUAUACACUUACUGGCUGUGUGACCCUGAGUAACUAGCUCGACUUCUCUGAGCCUGAAGUUUCCCAUCCAUAAUGUGGAAAUGAGAGAAGGAUCUAACAUUUUGGGUUGCAAUGGAAGUCCAAUAAAAUGGUACAUGUCAAAGUUCUCACCUAGUACACAGUCAGUGCUCACUAACAGUUACCUAUCCUCCCCCUCCACUUGCUCCUCAUCAGUGCUGACUGAUGAUGAAUUGCAGAAUUACUGCACAGGCCCUAGCCUAGUGCUCGGCAUGCACUAGGUACUCAGUAAGUGCUCGUUCCUUGGUUUUCCCAACUCUCUUCCCGCCACAAAUAACUCAAAGAUUUAAUUCUGAUAUGAUGCACCUAUCGCAAUUUUUAAA